rnacentral:rRNA from 1 species
GGGUCAGUAGGUUGGUCGUGCCACCGGUACGUACUGGUCUCACUGAUUCCUCCUUCCUGAAGAACCGUAAUGCCAUUAAUUUUGUGUUGAGGGGAAACAGGACUGUUACUUUGAAAAAAUUAGAGUGUUUAAAGCAAGCUAACGCUUGAAUACAUUAGCAUGGAAUAAUGAAAUAGGACGAUCGAUCCUAUUUUGUUGGUUUCUAGGAUUGACGUA